AACCAACAGGGAUUGCCCCAGUAACGGCGAGUGAAGCGGCAACAGCUCAAAUUUGAAAUCCGGCCCCCCGGGGCCCGAGUUGUAAUUUGGAGAGGAUGCUUUUGGCGAGGCGCCGCCCGAGUUCCCUGGAACGGGACGCCGCAGAGGGUGAGAGCCCCGUCUGGCUGGCCGCCGAGCCUCUGUAAAGCUCCUUCGACGAGUCGAGUAGUUUGGGAAUGCUGCUCAAAACGGGAGGUAUAUGUCUUCUAAAGCUAAAUACCGGCCAGAGACCGAUAGCGCACAAGUAGAGUGAUCGAAAGAUGAAAAGCACUUUGAAAAGAGGGUUAAACAGUACGUGAAAUUGUUGAAAGGGAAGCGCUCGUGACCAGACUUGGGCCCGGCGGAUCACCCGGCGUUCUCGCCGGCGCACUCCGCCCGGCCCAGGCCAGCAUCAGUUCGCCCCGGGGGACAAAGGCUUCGGGAACGUGGCUCCUCCGGGAGUGUUAUAGCCCGCCGCGCAAUGCCCCGGGGCGGACUGAGGUUCGCGCGUCCGCAAGGAUGCUGGCGUAAUGGUCACCAGCGACCCGUCUUGAAACACGGACCAAGGAGUCGUCUUCGUAUGCGAGUGUUCGGGUGCCAAACCCCUACGCGUAAUGAAAGUGAACGCAGGUGAGAGCUUCGGCGCAUCAUCGACCGAUCCUGAUGUUCUCGGAUGGAUUUGAGUAAGAGCAUACGGGGCCGGACCCGAAAGAAGGUGAACUAUGCCUGUAUAGGGUGAAGCCAGAGGAAACUCUGGUGGAGGCUCGCAGCGGUUCUGACGUGCAAAUCGAUCGUCAAAUAUGGGCAUGGGGGCGAAAGACUAAUCGAACCUUCUAGUAGCUGGUUUCCGC
rnacentral:rRNA from 1 species